rnacentral:rRNA from 1 species
UGGGGAAUUUUGGACAAUGGGGGAAACCCUGAUCCAGCCAUCCCGCGUGUGCGAUGAAGGCCUUCGGGUUGUAAAGCACUUUUGGCAGGAAAGGAACGUCGCGGGUUAAUACCCCGCGAAACUGACGGUACCUGCAGAAUAAGCACCGGCUAACUACGUGCCAGCAGCCGCGGUAAUACGUAGGGUGCAAGCGUUAAUCGGAAUUACUGGGCGUAAAGCGUGCGCAGGCGGUUCGGAAAGAAAGAUGUGAAAUCCCAGAGCUUAACUUUGGGAACUGCAUUUUUAACUACCGGGCUAGAGUGUGUCAGAGGGAGGUGGAAUUCCGCGUGUAGCAGUGAAAUGCGUAGAUAUGCGGAGGAACACCGAUGGCGAAGGCAGCCUCCUGGGAUAACACUGACGCUCAUGCACGAAAGCGUGGGGAGCAAACAGGAUUAGAUACCCUGGUAGUCCACGCCCUAAACGAUGUCAACUAGCUGUUGGGGCCUUCGGGCCUUGGUAGCGCAGCUAACGCGUGAAGUUGACCGCCUGGGGAGUACGGUCGCAAGNUUAAACUUAAAUGAAUUAGACGGGGGUCAUAGCUG